GCACCCGUAGUUCAGCGGAAGAACAUCGGUCUUCGGAACCGAGGGUCACAGGUUCGAAUCCUGUCGGGUGUGCCA
rnacentral:tRNA from 2 species